rnacentral:rRNA from 1 species
GCAAGCGUUGUUCGGAUUUACUGGGCGUAAAGGGCGCGUAGGCGGCCACCGCAAGUCGACUGUGAAAUCUCCGGGCUUAACCCGGAAAGGUCAGCCGAUACUGCGGGGCUAGAGUGCAGAAGGGGCAACUGGAAUUCUCGGUGUAGCGGUGAAAUGCGUAGAUAUCGAGAGGAACACCUGCGGCGAAGGCGGGUUGCUGGGCUGACACUGACGCUGAGGCGCGAAAGCCAGGGGAGCGAACGGG